rfam:Danio rerio chromosome 16, GRCz11 reference primary assembly.
UGCCACAGCAUUAUCACCCUGCAGCCCAAGACCGGUUACUCACUGAAGCUAAACAGGGCUGAGCCUGGUCAGUACCUGGAUGGGAGACCACUAGCGAACACUAGGUUGCUGUUGGAA